rnacentral:rRNA from 1 species
CGGUCAAAUCACGCUGAAAAAUGGGGUUCGAUCACCGAAGUUAAGCAUCGUAGAGCCAGGUCAGUACUUAGAUGGGGGACCGCUUGGGAACACCUGGUACUGUAAGC